rnacentral:rRNA from 1 species
CCUACGGGAGGCAGCAGUGGGGAAUAUUGGACAAUGGGCGAAAGCCUGAUCCAGCAAUGCCGCGUGAGUGAUGAAGGCCUUCGGGUCGUAAAGCUCUUUUACCAGGGAUGAUAAUGACAGUACCUGGAGAAUAAGCUCCGGCUAACUCCGUGCCAGCAGCCGCGGUAAUACGGAGGGAGCUAGCGUUGUUCGGAAUUACUGGGCGUAAAGAGUACGUAGGCGGUUAUUCAAGUCAGAGGUGAAAGCCCGGGGCUCAACCCCGGAACUGCCUUUGAAACUAGAUAACUAGAGUCUUGGAGAGGUUAGUGGAAUUCCGAGUGUAGAGGUGAAAUUCGUAGAUAUUCGGAAGAACACCAGUGGCGAAGGCGACUAACUGGACAAGUACUGACGCUGAGGUACGAAAGCGUGGGGAGCAAACAGGAUUAGAUACCCUGGUAGUCCACGCCGUAAACGAUGAUAACUAGUUGUUCGGUCACUUGGUGACUGAGUGACGCAGACACGACAUUAAGUUAUCCGUCCGUCGGGUAGGUACGGUCGCGAGAAGUUAAAACGUUAAAAGGUAAAGUUAGUACGGCGUGAGUAACGUGCCGACGGACGACGACGAGGGAGGAGG